rnacentral:rRNA from 1 species
GAUGAACGCUGGCGGCGUGCCUAAUACAUGCAAGUCGAGCGAACAGAUGAGGAGCUUGCUCCUCUGACGUUAGCGGCGGACGGGUGAGUAACACGUGGAUAACCUACCUAUAAGACUGGGAUAACUUCGGGAAACCGGAGCUAAUACCGGAUAAUAUAUUGAACCGCAUGGUUCAAUAGUGAAAGACGGUUUUGCUGUCACUUAUAGAUGGAUCCGCGCCGCAUUAGCUAGUUGGUAAGGUAACGGCUUACCAAGGCAACGAUGCGUAGCCGACCUGAGAGGGUGGUCGGCCACACUGGAACUGAGACACGGUCCAGACUCCUACGGGAGGCAGCAGUAGGGAAUCUUCCGCAAGGGGCGAAAGCCUGACGGAGCAACGCCGCGUGAGUGAUGAAGGUCUUCGGAUCGUAAAACUCUGUUAUUAGGGAAGAACAAAUGUGUAAGUAACUAUGCACGUCUUGACGGUACCUAAUCAGAAAGCCACGGCUAACUACGUG